rnacentral:rRNA from 1 species
UACGUAGGGCGCAAGCGUUGUCCGGAAUUAUUGGGCGUAAAGAGCUCGUAGGCGGCUUGUCACGUCGGAUGUGAAAGCCCGGGGCUUAACCCCGGGUCUGCAUUCGAUACGGGCAGGCUAGAGUGUGGUAGGGGAGAUUGGAAUUCCUGGUGUAGCGGUGGAAUGCGCAGAUAUCAGGAGGAACACCGAUGGCGAAGGCAGAUCUCUGGGCCGUAACUGACGCUGAUGCGCGAAAGCUAGGGGAGCAAACAGG